CGCGUAGGCGGCUUGUUAAGUGAGAAGUGAAAGCCCACGGCUUAACCGUGGAGGUGCUUCUCAUACUGACAAGCUAGAGGAUGGGAGAGGGAAGUGGAAUUCCUGGUGUAGCGGUGAAAUGCGUAGAUAUCAGGAGGAACACCGGUGGCGAAGGCGGCUUCCUGGACCAUGCCUGACGCUGAGGCGCGAAAGCGUGGGGAGCGAACAGGAUUAGAUACCCUGGUAGUCC
rnacentral:rRNA from 1 species